rnacentral:rRNA from 1 species
UAUAGGGCCGAAAGACUAAUCGAACCAUCUAGUAG